rnacentral:piRNA from 1 species
UGGGAUACGAAUACCAAAUUC